rnacentral:rRNA from 1 species
AGUGAACGCUGGCGGUAGGCCUAACACAUGCAAGUCGAACGGCAGCACAGUAAGAGCUUGCUCUUACGGGUGGCGAGUGGCGGACGGGUGAGGAAUACAUCGGAAUCUACUUUUUCGUGGGGGAUAACGUAGGGAAACUUACGCUAAUACCGCAUACGACUUACGGGUGAAAGCAGGGGAUCUUCGGACCUUGCGCGAUUGAAUGAGCCGAUGUCGGAUUAGCUAGUUGGCGGGGUAAAGGCCCACCAAGGCGACGAUCCGUAGCUGGUCUGAGAGGAUGAACAGCCACACUGGAACUGAGACACGGUCCAGACUCCUACGGGAGGCAGCAGUGGGGAAUAUUGGACAAUGGGCGCAAGCCUGAUCCAGCCAUACCGCGUGGGUGAAGAAGGCCUUCGGGUUGUAAAGCCCUUUUGUUGGGAAAGAAAAGCAGCAGGUUAAUACCCCGCUGUUCUGACGGUACCCAAAGAAUAAGCACCGGCUAACUUCGUG